CCACCGCUCUCCAAGGACUCUCGAGCAGCUCCAUCUACAGAUUCACAUGGAGAAGAAUUAAGGGUUCCUGCCAAUCACCAGCACCACUUUGCCAGCCUUGUAAGUGGGCCACCUUGGAAUUGGAGCCUCCAGUUCCUACUGACAUCUGACUGCAACAUCAUGAGAGACCCUGAGUUUGAACCACCCAGCUGAGCUGCUUCUGAGCUAACCCACUGAAACCAGUCUUGCUCUGUCACCCAGGCUAGAGUGCAAUGGCAUAAUCUCAGCUCACUGCAACAUCUGCCUCCCAGGUUCAAGCAAUUCUCCUGCCUCAGCCUCCCAAGAAGGUGAAAGUACCUGAAUGAAACAACACCCAGUAGCCACUAGCACACCUAGCUCCCAGAUCUGUUUUUGAUGCCAUUCUUCAGUAAAAGGAAGCAAGGCUGCUUGGAGAAAUUGCUAUCAAGGACUGGGGUAGAAAAUAUACAAGAUGAAAUUGGAGCAUCUUGUAGUGCUUGAAAACAGUUGGCAUCUGUGUGAAGAUGUGAAUGGAGGAGGCAGAGUAGGCAGUGUGCCACCUCUUUGAUCCAGCAAGUGGGAAGAACAGUCCCGGCCUCUUUGCACACAAGACCGUGAUACCAAUGCACCAUCACAGGCCCCACAGGGGAGCUGUCCGCUUCCCCACACAGCUGCUAGGGGCUCUUUUGCAUGUUCCCAACCUUUCCUGCCUUUAUCUGAUAUUCGUUCCUUAGAUCCUGGGAUGAGGAGGUGGACCAGCAGAAGGUGGGCUUGUGAAGGCAGCCCGGGGUCCAAAUCCUCCUGGCUCUUCAGCUUAGCGGGUUAGUUAACAUUCAGAAGCCUUCAUCUCCCAUCUGCAAAAUGGGCAUGUCCAACUCAGAAGCUGCCUUGAAGAAAGGGUCUACCCAGCAUGGUGCGUGGAGCCUAAGCAGUCAGUACUUCAGGACUUCACCCGGCCCCUUUCCAAUAACUGCUGCUGUCGCCCUCACAGGAUGUCACCUUCAGCGUCUGAAAGCUGGGUUUGAUGCGUCUGGAAAGGCGUCCCUGACAGGCGUCGUUGCCAGGAGCCCCUAGUGCCACCAGCAGCCAGCAGGGGAGGGCGUCCUCUGCCCGCUCACUUCUGACCCUUCUCUCGUUGCACCCGGAACAUGGUGCAGCUGGGAGCAGCCUGGGCUGCGCGGAAGGCUCAGAUUUGGGGACGGCCCUUGCCAGUGACUGUGAGCUGGGGUGUCUUGGAAACUCCCAGUCUCAGCUUCUCCAUUUAUAAGAUGAGAAUGAUCAUACCAGACUCAGGCAAGGUUGUUUGUGCAUUAGUGAAAUCAGACGUAUUAAAUAAAGUACCACAUUGA
ensembl:lncRNA LINC00658 long intergenic non-protein coding RNA 658